rnacentral:rRNA from 1 species
GCUAACUCCGUGCCAGCAGCCGCGGUAAUACGGAGGGUGCAAGCGUUAUCCGGAUUCACUGGGUUUAAAGGGUGCGUAGGCGGGCAGAUAAGUCAGUGGUGAAAUCUUCGAGCUUAACUCGGAAACUGCCGUUGAUACUAUUUGUCUUGAAUAUUGUGGAGGUAAGCGGAAUAUGUCAUGUAGCGGUGAAAUGCUUAGAUAUGACAUAGAACACCAAUUGCGAAGGCAGCUUACUACACAAUGAUUGACGCUGAGGCACGAAAGCGUGGGGAUCAAACAGGAUUAGAUACCCUGGUAGUC